GUACACUCCUGCGGGAGGCAGCAGUGGGGAAUUUUGGACAAUGGGCGAAAGCCUGAUCCAGCAAUGCCGCGUGAGUGAAGAAGGCCUUCGGGUUGUAAAGCUCUUUUGUCAGGGAAGAAACGGUGAAAGCUAAUAUCUUUUGCUAAUGACGGUACCUGAAGAAUAAGCACCGGCUAACUACGUGCCAGCAGCCGCGGUAAUACGUAGGGUGCAAGCGUUAAUCGGAAUUACUGGGCGUAAAGCGUGCGCAGGCGGUUUUGUAAGUCUGAUGUGAAAUCCCCGGGCUCAACCUGGGAAUUGCAUUGGAGACUGCAAGGCUAGAAUCUGGCAGAGGGGGGUAGAAUUCCACGUGUAGCAGUGAAAUGCGUAGAUAUGUGGAGGAACACCGAUGGCGAAGGCAGCCCCCUGGGUCAAGAUUGACGCUCAUGCACGAAAGCGUGGGGAGCAAACAGGAUUAGAAACCCUAGUAGUCCCAUGA
rnacentral:rRNA from 1 species